GUUUUUUUCUUUAAUGUCUUAACUUGCUAGAAUUGCAAAGUGUCUGACUUCACACUUCUGCAAAAUGCUGUUCCAGAGAAACAGCAGAUGCACAUGAACUGUAGCUGUCAGCUUGCUGGCAGUAGCUAAGUUUCUUCUUGGAAUAUUAGGCUGAUAUCUCUUUUUCACUUGUCUGCCAAGUCAUAUGUCCUUGUCUGAGAUUGCUUUUCUUGUCUUUCCUGUAAUAACAGCAGUAUGACAGAAUUCUUGGAGAAAUACUGUGCUAAUGGAUACUUCUGACAGUUCUGAUUCUUUGCCGAGGAAAGGAAAUAGAAAAAAGACUGCUGUGUUUGUUCCCAAAAGCAGUUACAGUAAAUGCCCUAUAAAUCAGCUAAGUAGUUCUUUUUAGUGCAAGGAGCAGGCUUCCUGCAAGCAAUGGUGAUGCUUCAAAGUUGGAAGAAUGAGCAAGAAAACUGUCAGGAAAAGCUUUAGCAGAAAUUAUUUAACUGUGUGUUGAGAUGGAGCAUUGAAGUGACUGUAGGUAGUGGGAGGAUAGCUUUGCAUCCAAGGAAGAGAGCCCAUACGUUAAUAUGUAUGGAUCAGCAUGGAUAAAACAAAAUACAUCUUUUAUCUCUGGUGCUUUCACUCUGCUCUUGGUUUGGCUGUGUCUUCCUCCUGGCCUCGUGUCUGUUGUUGCCCACAGCUGUCAUUGCAAUGUGGGUUUGACUGCCCCUUUGUUCAGUGUUCAACACAUCUCUCAGGACAUACUCCUCUGUGGCUUCCCUGAAUUCCUUUUCUUUGGUACUGUGAAAACAUUCCUGAAUGUUUCAGGUAAUUUUAGUCCUCUCUCUCUCUCUGAAGAUACUGGUCUGAGCUUUUUUGUGGGAAAUUACGAGUAACUUUGUACUCAGCAUCUCUUAGGAUCAAGGUGUUUUAGGAAUCUGUUGAGCAUCAUCACUCUCUGUCACUUCCCUUCAUGCCUGAGGGCCCCAGGUUGGAUUUGACACCUGAGAUAAAUGUAGCCUCAGCCUUUGGAGAGUUGAUCUGGAAAGCAGAGUAGCAGUGUCAGCCCUGGAGAGUCAAGGCAGCAAGAAAAAGAGAAAGAAAAAGGAGCAGCAUCAGCACAGGAAGCAACAUAUUGGAAAUGGAAGAGAACUGGAAAAGAGCCAAAACCACAAACAUGGGGAAGAAACAAAAGAAGAGCAAAGGAAAAGAAAAAGAUGACCAGCAGGUUCAAUGAAAGUGUCACAUCAAGUUAAAUAGGUUGUGGUCUUCUUUUCACAAAGAUCAAGCACCUUCUAUACAGAUACAAGACAUGUCCCACCUAUGAACCUGGUCUUGUUUGCUGGACCAUACAGGAGCAAGAGCAUCGAUCUCAUCCAGGAAAACAAUUGAAGGUCACAUCUGGCAGGCCUACAAAGAAAACACAGGAACACUGACAUCAGGAAAACAGCAUUGUAUGAAAGGCGAAAUACAUUAAAAACAUUAUGGUUACAAGAGUAGUAGAACUGGUUAGUUUGGGGGUUUUUUGAGGGGGAUGGUGGUGCUUUGCAAAAUUUUCUUGUUAGCGUUAUUAAUAUUUCCCAAUACAUCCUAAGAUUUGCAGUCCUCCAAAACCCCACUGGAAAAGGAAACACUGAGAGUCCCAUUUCUGUGGAAGGACCUGACAAAACAUGAAAAAACUUCUUCUUCAGCACAGAAAAUUAGUUACAACUCAGAACAUGUGGCACAUUUCAAUCAUACCUGCUCAAAUAAUAAAGAAAAAUUGUCAUUCAUAUUCUCCUACCCAUUCACUCAGGCAGUUUACACAUUUCUCAUAAAAAAAGAUUACUCCGCCUUCACCCUGGCUACAUUCAUUAGCAAAUGUCUGGUGCCAGUGUCUCUCUAGUCCCUGGUGUACCAUAGAAAAGGAAAUCUCUGAAAUUAAAAAAAAAAAAUCACACAAGAAAAACUUAUAAUGGAAAAGUGCCUAUUAUAACCCCCAUCCCUAAAACUCAUAGCUCAGCUCUCCUCAGCAAAAUACUUCAUGGAUAACACAGCAGUAAAAGUGUGAGAAAAACCAAAAUGUGUUCCUUCACAAUUCAACAGGGCAGCAAAGGAAAUUCAUAAAAGGAUAAUGUAUAUGUACAAAACAUUGAGAAAAGAUAGUAACAUUCCAAAAGCUCUGAGAUACCAGCAGGGGUGUGUCACACACCACACAGUGGAGCCAAACAAACUUCCAGUGCAGAAGCUGAGGCCAGGAUAACUUAGAAAUCACCAGUUCUGCACAUUCCUUCUCAUUUUCACAAAUGGUAAGAUUUGAGAGUAAAGCAUUUAACUGCCCCUUGAAUAGCUUUAAAUUUCUGUGUUUGGUCUCCCUUUGCAUGUGAUAAAGAAGAAGUAAUCUAAAGCUGGGAAGGUAUUCUGCAUUUCUGCAUUUCCAUCAGCUGGAAA